GUGGGGAAUAUUGCACAAUGGGCGCAAGCCUGAUGCAGCCAUGCCGCGUGUGUGAAGAAGGCCUUAGGGUUGUAAAAUUCUUUCACCGGGGACGAUAAUGACGGUACCCGGAGAAGAAGCCCCGGCUAACUUCGUGCCAGCAGCCGCGGUAAUACGAAGGGGGCUAGCGUUGCUCGGAAUUACUGGGCGUAAAGGGCGCGUAGGCGGACAGUUUAGUCAGAGGUGAAAGCCCUGGGCUCAACCUUGGAAUUGCCUUUGAUACUGGCUGUCUUGAGUACGGGAGAGGUGAGUGGAACUCCGAGUGUAGAGGUGAAAUUCGUAGAUAUUCGGAAGAACACCAGUGGCGAAGGCGACUCACUGGCCCGUUACUGACGCUGAGGCGCGAAAGCGUGGGGAGCAAACAGGAUUAGAAACCCGGGUAGUCC
rnacentral:rRNA from 1 species